AUUUUAGCUUGUACUGACUUAGUGCUUUUUAUGUGGCCUGUCGUAACACGAGGCAAAUCUCUCGAUGAGUUGAUGUGCCCCGUGGAAGACCUCUGCUUACCCCCAGGGGUACACGAACCGGUGGGUGAGAACCACUGUUCUAAGGCAGCUCCAGCCCUGGUGCCGUGGGGGAGACGUGUCCUCGCGGCCCUGCCUGACAGGUCUUUCUGUUUCAGAUCCUUGUCCUAACUGCAGGAAAUGUAACUACAAGACAUGUACAAUUGUGCUCGCAGUCGCCCUCGCAACCAUGUUCUUAGUUCUCAUCAUUGUCCUGGCAGUGUGGAGACCUAAGCUUCCGUCAGCUGAACCGGGGCCCGUUGCUGGAUCGGAUACCAAGGGAAAUGCUACUAUUUCUCUGAGGCCGAAAGGAACUGGACCUACAGCCUGACCUACUGCUCUGCGCUCAGCGCCUCCCUGGCUGAGAUCAACAGUGAGCAGGAAAUGGCUUUUGUGCUGUGCUAUAAAGGCAGAUUUGACCACUGGAUUGGCCUCCGGAGGGACCCUGGGCAGCUCUGGAAAUGGGCCAAUGGCACCAAAUUCAACAACCUG